UACGGAGGUGGCAAGCGUUACUCGGAAUCAUUGGGUGUAAAGGGCAAGUAGGCGGUCUAAUAAGUGAGGGGUGAAAUCCUGCGACUCAAUCGCAGAACUGCCUUUCAAACUGUUAGACUUGAGGUAAGAAGAGGAAAAUGGAAUUCUAGGUGUAAGGGUGAAAUCUGUAGAUAUCUAGAAGAACACCAACGGCGAAGGCAAUUUUCUACUCUUAUCCUGACGCUAAAUUGCGAAAGCUAGGGGAGCAAACAGA
rnacentral:rRNA from 1 species